CAGUCGCCGCGGGAAUACGUAGGGUGCGGGCGUUAAUCGGAAUUACUGGGCGUAAAGCGUGCGCAGGCGGCUUUGCAAGACAGAUGUGAAAUCCCCGGGCUCAACCUGGGAACUGCAUUUGUGACUGCAAGGCUAGAGUGCGGCAGAGGGAGAUGGAAUUCCGCGUGUAGCAGUGAAAUGCGUAGAUAUGCGGAGGAACACCGAUGGCGAAGGCAAUCUCCUGGGCCUGCACUGACGCUCAUGCACGAAAGCGUGGGGAGCAAACAGGAUUAGAUACCCGGGUAGUCCCUGUCUCUUAUAC
rnacentral:rRNA from 1 species